rnacentral:rRNA from 1 species
CGGCGAGUGAAGCGGGAUGAGCUCAAGCUUAAAAUCUCUGUGCAGGUUCUGCAUGGCGAAUUGUAGUCUAUGGAGGCGAUGUCAGUGCGGUUGUGCGGGAUAAGUUCCUUGGAAGAGGACAGCAUCGAGGGUGAUACUCCCGUAUGUGCCUGUACAGCUGCGCGUACGACACGUUUUCUUUGAGUCGCGUUGUUUGGGAAUGCAGCGCAAAGUAGGUGGUAAAUUCCAUCUAAAGCUAAAUAUUGGUGCGAGACCGAUAGCGAACAAGUACCGUGAGGGAAAGAUGAAAAGAACUUUGAAAAGAGAGUUAAAGAGUACCUGAAACUGCUGAAAGGGAAUCGAAUCGUUUCCAGUGUCUAUAAUCCAUGACAUAUUUCAUUGGCGCGUGAAUGCGUGCAGCGUUUUGGAAGUGGGUUUCCUCUCCUGGCGUUGUUGUGCGUUUGCUUGCUGGUGCCCUGUGUUGUGGUGGGACGUCAGAGUCAGUUCGUAUGCCGCGGGAAAUGGCUGUCAGGGAGGUAGGUCGCUUCGGUGAUUGUUAUAGCCUGGCAGUUAGUAGUCGUGGUUGGGACUGAGGUGCCUACAACGCGCUUUCGAGUCUGCGGGACUCUCGUCUGGUUGCCUGCUUGGACAGCUUGCUGUGCUAGUGGUCACAUCGGGGCGAUUGAGAUCUGUAGUAACUUGU